UACGUAGGGGGCAAGCGUUGUCCGGAAUCAUUGGGCGUAAAGAGCUCGUAGGUGGCCUGUCGCGUCGGCUGUGAAAACUCGGGGCUCAACUCCGAGCUUGCAGUCGAUACGGGCAGGCUAGAGUUCGGCAGGGGAGACUGGAAUUCCUGGUGUAGCGGUGAAAUGCGCAGAUAUCAGGAGGAACACCGGUGGCGAAGGCGGGUCUCUGGGCCGUAACUGACGCUGAGGAGCGAAAGCGUGGGGAGCAAACAGG
rnacentral:rRNA from 1 species